UCUCGCUUUUGGACAGGAAGGGACUUGGCUGCAGGGAGCACCUAGAUUGGAGCAGGGCUGAAGAAAGGCCAAGGGAGCUGGGGCGUUCCAGCCAGGAAAAUCCCAGGCUGUGGCCUAGUAGAAGGCCAGGCAGCACCAGUUUUGGGUCUAUUGGGGCAUGACAAUCCACAGGGACAAGAUGAUACAGCUGAGUUGCAAAUUAUAAGCAGUGAACUCUCAAGGACUCCCGGUGUUAGUUCACAUGGUGCCUAUUACAAUGGGGUCCUGAUGCUUCAUGCAGGUCCUUAGCUUGAAUCACCAUAGAAAUAAUGAUGAAGUGCAACAGGAUUGAUACCCAUUGAAGACUACAGGUGUCAUUGAAGACAUGCAUAUGGGGACCAAAAAGAAAACAGCAUCACUGUCAAAACUCAAGGGGAAUUCAUAAACUACCUACUAGACAAAAUAUUUUUACUUUACUUUAGAUACUGAAAUUAGCAAGACAUAAUCAAUCAGCAUGGAAUCCCAUAUAUUUUAGUUUAUAUGCCACUUUUCAGGGUAGACCAGAAUUUCAACACUGCUUACCUUUAAAAGUCUUGCCAGGAUAGCCAUAGGAGUUUUGCCUACUCUACAGUUUUGCGAACAUAGCUAUGCUGGGAAGGACAUAGCUCCGCCGGCAAAACUUUUCAGUGUAGACCAGGCCCAAGAAACAUGGAAAUUUUUAAUCGCUGUCCUGCAUCUAGUGUAGUUGUUCAGACAGGACAGAGUGAGAGAAAAACUACCACGAUGACUUGGUAGCAUUUACCACCCACUUUACUCUGGAGUAAAAUGGCUACAGAGAUACAGAACAAUUAUGAAGUAGGUGUAAUUACUGAAGACUUUGCCAAUAUAGACAUUACAUCAACAGUUAGAAACUAUGUAAUUUCACAUUGACAAACUAAAAUCAAAGGGGUUUCUCCCCUCUUCCUUUUUAGCAGGAUAAACCUUUUAAAAUGCAGUUUUUUAAAAAAAAAAGACAAAACAUAUGAAGGAAUAUAUUUUCAAAAUCAAGACAUCAAGUAUAUUUCACAGAUGUGUAUGCAAAAAAGGUAUACAUCUACUAUAAUUUGAACACAAAUAUAAAGUAUUCAGUUCAACCAUGAUAUGUUACUUCACACUUGAAGAGAACUUCCCCACAAAAUCGGAGUUCAUAAAAUGCAACAUAAUAAAAAUACUCAUUGUUUGUGGUCACCUACAAAGUCAUGAAAGUCAAGAGGUUUGAAACAAUAUUAACCAUAUGCAUGCAAAUUGUCAAGGAGCCAGUGAGGCAACAAUCAAAAUUAGCUUUUUUACAUUCCCCCUCAAAUCUUUCAGUCCAUGGACACUAAAGAAAUAUUUCCAACUACUGCUGAAGAAGAGUUUGUAAUGCAUAAUGUAUGUGUAAUUAUUACUUUCAGUAAACAUGAAGUUUUUAUUUAUUAUCCCUCAAGGUAAAUACUGAUUCUUGCUUUAAACUUUACAUUUGUAAUUAAUUUAGUCAGCAAGUUUACACAUUUUCCCUGUUUGGGAAUCAUCUGUAAACACUAUUACAGAUUAGUUCAUUAGCCAUAUCUGUGGAAAUUAUUAUUUUGUACAAAAGAGUUUCAGCUUAUGGGUGGCUUAUUGUUCGCUGAAAGUACUCAAUGUUCAAGAUGUAUCACUGGUUACCUAACUCACAUCAUUUUGUUUCUGUACCCUUAUUAGAUGACCUAACACAAACCCGCAGAAAGAUUUCAAGAUGGCCACACAAGUACAAUUUUGGUUCCAAUAUACAUUUGCAUGAAUAUACAUAACGCUUUCAAAUUCGGUGAAUCUUGUGAACAAAAAUUAAUUUGCUUUUUAUGAAUGUUCACAGAAAGCAAAGAAAAGGGGUUGAGAGUAUAGGUUUUAUUUGAAAGAGCAUUUGAAUACUUUUUUGAUUUAUUCACCUAGAUCUAUUUUUAAAUAAUUAACCAAGGUACCCAAGUCAAUAUAACACUUGUAAUGCACAAAUUUAAAUGUAAAAAAGUUUGUCUCUACUAGUUUCCACCUGCAUUUUCACCGCCUCCUUUUUUAAGUAGUG